CCAUCGCGUCGCCGCCACCCACUCACCAUCUCCAUCGGGAUCCUCCUAGAUCCCACCUCCUCCCUGUUCGAUCUAGAGGAGUGGAGCUCCUCCGCGCCCAUAGGCUCUCCCGCUCGAGGGCUCCAUGCUGUCUUCGCCAAGCUCCAGGAGCUUGAGCCCCUGCUCCACCUCAUCGUCGGAUCUCCAUCGCCGUACCACCAAUCCAUGAGCCCGAGGAGCCCUUGCGCCAUGCUCCUCCCUUGCCGCAAUAGGAGAGCAUCCCCGAGCUCUUCCUCAACCUCCUCACGUCGCUGCCUUGUCAGCACUACCUCGCCCGCGCGUUGCCAGGUCGUCCGUCCGCCAGAGCGUGCCCCGCCUCGACCUCGGCGGUGACCAUCGACACUGCCGCACAACGACAGGAGCUCCAUCCCCAAACGCCUUCGCGCCUCCGACCUGAACUCCUCUUGCGCCCGCACCUGGAGCCAUGGACGCCUCAAGCUAGGUUUGACUUGCCGCCCUAGUUUCCUCGGCCUCGUCGUCGCGCCUCCGAAGACCGGCCUCGUCGUCACCGGAGACCCCAGGCUAGCCGCCGCCGCGCUAAGUUCCCUGCUCCACGCCGGACUCGGCUUCCUCGUCGUCUCUAGCAACGGCCAGAGCUCCAAGUCCCUCCGCCUCGCCCCGCUUGCCCGCGCCAGUUGUCGCCGGCGGCCAUCUCCAGCCCCUCCUCUACUUCGUUCUACGGGGAGGACGAGGUGCCCAUGCCUCGCGUGGUCAGCGCCGCCACUCUGAACCUCGCGCUCCCCGCUCGUUCUGCGUUGACCGCAGCCACACCGUACGUGGGCCUCCUCUUGCAGCGCCUCAAGGCCCAGCCUGCUUCCCCUCAAGAUCCGGCCUGCCAAGCCUCUUCCCCGAAUGGGCUUGGCCCAUGUUGGUUCCGAUAACGUUGCGUUUGUGAGGAUCCGUUUGACUACGUCUGUUUGUCUUCUU